rnacentral:rRNA from 1 species
AUGAGCUCCUCCAACGGCAACGGCGGGAAGAAGCCGGCGCCGUCCGGCGGCCGCGGGGGCAUCCGCACCCUCGCCGACAUCAACCGCGGCCCCUCCGGAUUCCCAGGCGCAGGCGGCAGCGGCAGCGACUCCGAUGAGCCCCAGGAGUACUACACCGGCGGCGAGAAGAGUGGGAUGCUUGUUCAAGAUCCAACAAGGAGAAAUAAUGUGGACUCAAUCUUUGAGCAAGCUAGAGUGAUGGGUGCUCAGCAAGUUCCACUGCCUUCUUUUGAAGGCCAAUCUUCCAGCUCAACCAGCUUUGCAGGAACAGGUCGUCUGCUUUCAGGGGAUGCGCAGACAGCACCAGCUGCUCCUCAACCACCGCAGGAUGUUCUUCACAAUAUACAUUUCUGGAACAAUGGUUUCACAGUAGAUGAUGGUCCACUAAGAGGCUAUGAUGACCCUGCAAAUGCAGACUUCAUCGAGAGCAUCAAGAAGUCCCAGUGCCCCCAAGAGCUGGAGCCUGCUGAUCGAAGGACAGCUGUGCACGUCAAUGUUAUAAAACGACAUGGAGAUUAUGAGGAAGCUGCAAGGCCUCGAUCAGCUUUCCAGGGUGUUGGUAGAACCCUCGGUGGAUCUUCAGCAGAUCAGAGUCCUGCACCAGCUCCUGUGACGCAAGAGCCCUGCAGUGCUCCCAGGUCAAUUGGCAUAGUGGUGGACGACUCGCAGCCCUUUACAUCUAUUCAGCUAAGGUUGGCGGACGGCACUCGCAUGGUCGCUCGGUUUAACCUUCAGCACACCGUGGGUGACAUCAGGUCUUUCAUUGAUGCAUCCCGCCCAGGAGCUGCGCGGCCAUAUCAGUUGCAGACUGGCUUCCCACCCAAGCAGCUGACUGACCCUACGCAGACUCUUGACCAAGCUGGACUCAAGAACUCCGUUAUCAUGCAGAAGAUGUAG